rnacentral:ncRNA from 1 species
GGAGAGAAAAUUAGUAAAUCUUAGCCUGCCUGUAAGUAUACAGUGUUGUGAUGCCAUGGAUGGCAGCACAAGUCUUAACGUGCCAUGGAAGGCACGUUUAAGACGUACACGUCACUCCGAGAAAAUCUAAUGCAGGCAGACUUAGAUUUUCUUAUUUUCGGAC